rnacentral:rRNA from 1 species
UACGGGGGGGGCAAGCGGUUGUUCGGAAUUACUGGGCGUAAAGGGCUCGUAGGCGGCCAACUAAGUCAGACGUGAAAUCCCUCGGCUUAACCGGGGAACUGCGUCUGAUACUGGAUGGCUUGAGAUUGGGAGAGGGAUGCGGAAUUCCAGGUGUAGCGGUGAAAUGACGUAGAUAUCUGGAGGAACACCGGUGGCGAAGGCGGCAUCCUGGACCAUUACUGACGCUGAGUGAGCGAAAGCCAGGGGAGCAAACGGG